UCCAGCGUGGUCUAGUGGUUAGAGUGCGUGGCUCUCAACCCCGAGUCCCGGGUUCGAUUCCCGGCGCAGGAC